rnacentral:rRNA from 1 species
AUGAUCAGCAGCACCGACGACGUGCGGAGGACGGUGCAGGCGAAGCCGGUUGUGGUGGUGGGGCGGCGGGAGUGCUGCAUGGCACACGUGGCCCGGUGCCUGCUGCUGGGGCAGGGCGCGAACCCGGCGGUGCUGGAGGUCAGCGACGACGCCGACCCGGCUGCGCUCGUCUUCGCGCUCUGGCCCAAGGACAACAGCACCAAGGUGGCCACCGAAGUCGCCUUCCCGGUGGUGUUCAUCGGGGGCAGGCUGCUGGGCGGGCUGGACAGCCUCAUGGCCAUGCACAUGGCCGGCGAGCUCGUGCCGGUCUUGAAGCAGGCAGGAGCCCUCUGGCUUUGA